GUUUAUCUGUCGAGUUUUGUGCAAAGCACAAAACAUCGCUUAUUGUAUGCGGUUUGUAAACAAACCGCUUGAAAAAACUUUUUUCGCAAAUUGCUAUUUGCUGCAAAAAGUUUUUAUAGG
rnacentral:sRNA from 1 species